GAUGAACGCUGGCGGCGUGCCUAAUACAUGCAAGUCGAGCGAACAGACGAGGCGCUUGCUCCUCUGACGUUAGCGGCGGACGUGUGAGUAACACGUGGAUAACCUACCUGUAAGACUGGGAUAACUUCGGGAAACCGGAGCUAAUACCGGAUAAUAUAUUGAACCGCAUGGUUCAAUAGUGAAAGACGGUUUUGCUGUCACUUAUAGAGGGAUCCGCGCCGCAUUAGAUAGUUGGUAAGGUAACGGCUUACGAAGGCGAGGAUGCGUAGACGACCUGAGAGGGUGAUCGGCCACACUGGAACGGAGACACGGUCCAGACUACUAAGGGAGGCAGCAGUAGGGAACCUGCCGCAAUGGGCGAAAGCCUGACGGAGCAACGCCGCGUGAGUGAUGAAGGUCUUCGGAUCGUAAAACUCUGUUAUUAGGGAAGAACAAAUGUGUAAGUAACUAUGCACGGCUUGACGGUAAUUAAUCAGAAAGCCACGGCUAACUACGUG
rnacentral:rRNA from 1 species